AACGAAUGAGAUAAUAAAUGUCCUGAGGAAAUUAAUAUUUAUAAUACCUUUAAUGUUUAAAUGCAUAUACAUUAAUAAACAAGAGUCAGAAUUUUUUUUAAAAACACACUUAAGUAUUUCAUAAUUAGAGAUGGCAUAAAACUUUCAAGUCAUCCAAUAAUAGAGGUUCUCUUAUGUUUUAUCAGACCACUGCUGCAUUUUGGCACAUUUGACUUCAGUACACUUAAACCUCGCUUUCAGGAAGAUAGAUAGGGUUAGAGCUGCAUCAACAGGACGUCGAAAAGCAUGACUUGUGAUAAAGAGGGCCUCAAAAAAUAAGAGUAAUGGAAGAGGCUUUCCUCUAAUUUUUCCAACAGCUACAGAAAGAAGAAAAUUUUCUGAGUCAAAUAGUUUAAGAAAUAGUUUGCUUUUUCUUAUUUCAUAUUACUAUUCUCGUGCCUUUGGUUUUUGAAAACUUUAGCCAUCUAAAAUUAUACAUUUAUAAUUUUUAACACAUGCUUAUAAAGUUUAUACUUUGGAUAAUAACUAAAUGUCACGUGCCAAGUGAAGAUGGAGGCAGAGACUGGAAUGAUCUGCUACCAGUCGGGGGAGGCUAACAAUCCUGACAAUCCUCAGAAGCCAGGAGAGAGGCAUGGAAAGGAACCUCCCUUAAAGCCUCCAGAAGGAGUGACCCCUUGACAUCAUGAUUUCAGACUUCUGGCCUCCAGAGCUGUGAGAGAGUAUAUUUUUCUUUUAAGUCAUAGGAUUCUCCUGUUAAUGAUGCCAAUUUGCUAUGACCAAAGAAAACAAAAGGUGCCGCUGCAGAUACACAGAAGGUAAAAUUCCUAAUACAAACUAUCCUGCUCUAAUGACCAAUCAAAUGAGGCAUAUAUAAAACUGGAAAUUUAGAGGUAUAUAUUUAGUUAAUAUACUCUAACUUUGAAAAUAAUUCAAGGAGAAUGACAAGUUAGGAUCCUGAAAUUUACAUGUAGACUCAGCCACUGACCAAAUAAAGUAUGUCAAUUUCAAAUCAGCAUGACUACAAUUCACUUCUUUAUUAAGCUGUAUGUACACUCAAUGUUUGAACUUGCAGGGGAGGAAGACUGUCCAUUUGAAUUCUUAAUUAAUUCAUCAGAUUAUUUUCCUUUUGUGAGCAGAAAAUAAUUUUACCACCAUAA